rnacentral:pre_miRNA from 1 species
GCAUUCGUGGCAGUUUUAUUUUGUGACCGACACUAACGGGUAGUGAUUUAUUUUGAUACUAUACUCGUUUUUGCGAUCACAACCACUGAAAUUGCAACGA